UGGAUUCUGUGGGGCCCAUGGUCAGG
rnacentral:piRNA from 1 species